rnacentral:rRNA from 1 species
GUGGACUCUCAAGUGUGAGGUAAGGGCAUUUGGUGGAUGCCUUGGCAUGUACAGGCGAUGAAGGACGUGGCACGCUGCGAUAAGCGUCGGUGAGGUGUGAGCAACCUUUGACCCGACGAUUUCCGAAUGGGGAAACCCACCUUCACCAAUUAAUUCAGCCGGUGAGCGAUCACUGGCCGAGUUAAUUGAGGAAGGUAUCACCGAAGUGAAUACAUAGCUUUGGUGAAGCGAACCCGGGGAACUGAAACAUCUCAGUACCUGGAGGAAAAGACAUCAACCGAGAUUCCGUUAGUAGUGGCGAGCGAACGCGGACCAGGCCAGUGCCUGAUAUUCAACUAGC